rnacentral:rRNA from 1 species
GGCCAGCCGCCGCGGUAAUACGGGGGGUGCAAGCGUUACUCGGAAUCACUGGGCGUAAAGAGCAUGUAGGCUGGUUUGUAAGUUGGAAGUGAAAUCCUAUGGCUUAACCAUAGAACUGCUUCCAAAACUGCAGACCUAGAGUAUGGGAGAGGUAGAUGGAAUUUCUGGUGUAGGGGUAAAAUCCGUAGAGAUCAGAAGGAAUACCGAUUGCGAAGGCGAUCUACUGGAACAUAACUGACACUGAGGAACGAAAGCAUGGGUAGCGAAGAGGAUUAGAUA